UGGGGAAUUUUGGACAAUGGGGGAAACCCUGAUCCAGCCAUCCCGCGUGUGCGAUGAAGGCCUUCGGGUUGUAAAGCACUUUUGGCAGGAAAGAAACGUCAUGGGUUAAUACCCCGUGAAACUGACGGUACCUGCAGAAUAAGCACCGGCUAACUACGUGCCAGCAGCCGCGGUAAUACGUAGGGUGCAAGCGUUAAUCGGAAUUACUGGGCGUAAAGCGUGCGCAGGCGGUUCGGAAAGAAAGAUGUGAAAUCCCAGAGCUCAACGUUGGAACUGCAUUAAUAACUAACGGGCUAGAGUGUGUCGGAGGGGGGGGGAAUGCCGCGUGUAGCAGUGAAAUGCGUAGAUAUGCGGAGGAACACCGAUGGCGAAGGCAGCCUCCUGGGAUAACACUGACGCUCAUGCACGAAAGCGUGGGGAGCAAACAGG
rnacentral:rRNA from 1 species